GUUUAUUGUUGACGACGAUUGUGUAAAUGUUUAAUCGAAUAGAAUUAGUGUAUUUAUAUUCUAUAUUGUUUGGUUUUUAAAGUAAAACUGAUGCAGGGUGGCAGAGAGCUCGGACCAACGCGGCGGCGUAAGCUUUCGCCUGCAGUGUCAGGAAGGAAAAGAAUCGGAAGUGCGUCGGUCGGGUAUGACUCGUUGGCUUGGUAGAGCUGAGAGUAUGAGCGUCUGUACUUAUCGUACAUAACAAUAUUGCAUAAUAUACACGGGUGUCAGGUGAGGAUUUGAAAACUUCAACUUCUCAACUUUUCUAGUAGAAAAAAAUCGAGGAAAAAAUGCUCUAAUCAUGGACUUCGAUGGAGGUUUUUGGAAACAAAUUUGAUUUAGUUGGGAUUUUUGAAGGUCAAAAUUGAAAAUUCUCAGUAUUUUUUUAAAUAAUCGGGAAAAUAAAUAAAAAUUUGUUAAAAUUGUUUCGUAACCUUUGUUAAACCGUGUUACAUGUUUUAGAUUCUGAGCGGCGUGA
rnacentral:lncRNA from 1 species